AAACCCCCCAGCGGCAGUGUUGUGCUGGCUGUAGCCAUGUACAAACGUCAAAUACCAUGUACAAACGUCAAAUAACGGCUCAUUCUAUCACCUAUAUUUAGCAAACUACUGUAGCACAAUAGCCGCCAGUGCAAUGUCACGAGUGGGAUUAUUGUUUUUAUCUAAUACAUUUGCAAACAUUUCUAAAAACCUGUUUUAAGCUUUGACAUAUGGCUGCUACUAAAGGGGUAGAUAGUUCAAUAGUAAUAUCCUCUAAAACGCUCCGGUGACAAACAAACUCUGCUGCCCUGUUUCCAAUCGUCCACAUGGCUGGGAGAACCUAUUCAAGUAAAUACCUUGUAACUGGAGAUUCCUUCAAAACGAUUGCCUACAGUUAAUGUGUAGGGCACAGCAAGGUUGGGUGACUAGGGCCAUCUGGGACUGCCUGCUGGAGGAAUUCAGGUGUGUGAAGGCUACCUGUGUCCUGCAUAACUUCAUGAGGAUAGACACAAGGACCAGGAGGGGAUCUGCAGCUCGCCGCCGUGUGCCAGAGAAAAAGUCUGCUGCUCUGCAGGAUGUUUUAAGGAUGGGGUCCAACAAUGCAGCAAGAGAGGCCAUCUGUGUGCGGGAGAUCUUCACCUCCUACUUCUUUCGAAGAGGGUGCUGUUUCCUGGCAACACCAUAGACUACACUAUGCACAACCAAAGGCUCUUUUAAGAGCCAUUUACAUUGCAAUAAGAGUAUUCUUCCAUUUACUUAGCUAUGUCAACUGCAGUUAUUCAAUUCCCAGUUUCUCUCUCUUUGAUUUCUACUUCUCAGGUGAGGGUGCUGUUUAGGUAAGGGUGUGAUGUUUGUACAAAAACAAAACAGGCUAUUUUAAAUCACCCAUAUUGAAAAAAUGUAGAACAAUUAGACACCCUAUAACCCACACCUACACACUCAUGUAUCAAUCUGAUUGAUGGAUUGUGUUGUGCAGUAAGCAGGCUCAGGUGUAUAACUGUGGCUCCUUCCACCUUCAAAGAAUAGGCAAGAGUGCCAACUAUGGAGAAUAAUAAGACACUUAAUUAUUUCUACAACUACGCUAUAUUGUUUGUUCUUGUGUUUCCGUUCAUGUGUUUCAGCAUAAAGUAUUCUGCAGCCACUUAGUGUGGUGUGGACACCAGGUGAGGCCACACACACAGAUUCCUGUUGAAGACUGUCACUUUAACUACCUUAUUUUCUCAAUAAAUAGUCUCUCUCCUUCACUUCAUCCCUCUCUCCUCUUCUCCCUAAAUCCUCUAGGUUAUAUCAGCUGUCGGUGAACACCUCCCGCAUCUGAACUGGCUACAUAGAGGGCACUUGGUCAGGUCAACAAGAAGUAUUAUUAAAGAGAUGUUUUACAUUGAAAUACAGAUAGAGAUGUAGUUGUCCCAGAGUUAAUGAUCCAAGGUCAGUUUUGCAUUUUAACCUGAUGAUUAUGAGGACUAACAAUGUUAGUAUAAAAAAUAAAAACAAGGCUUAAACAUGCUCUCUCUCGUCUGCAGAUAUGUUUUGAUGUGAGAGAGGAUGCCAACUCCCAGUCCCAUUAUCGCCACCUCAUCCGCUCUUAAGAUAAGUGUCUCUAGUCGGCCCGAAGGUUAUGAAAUUGUGAUGAACUGAGAGAAUAUUUGGGUAGCAAUGAUUCAUCAAUCAUAUGCUGCCUUCCCUCCUCCUAUGUUCUUACCUCUUUCCCUUUGUCUUUUACACCUCUCACCACCUCUUUCUUCCUCUGUUUUAUAAUGUACAACAGAUGUACAUUGAAGUACAGAUUGAACUUGCAUUUAUAAUAUUACAAAUAUAUUUAUGCAUGUAUUUAUCCAACACUUGGAUAAUGAACUUCUUUCAAUAAAGUGUCACAUUCUCUA